AUAUAUAAAUCAAACUAGAUCAGUGAUUUGUCGAUAUAAGUGAAUAUAAUUAAAG
rnacentral:guide_RNA from 1 species